UGGUAUGUCGGACAGGCGUUCUGCUUCUCUUUGAGCACGGAUUUAUCCACACUGUGUGACAUGAAUGAAAUGAGAAAUUUUCAGGGCUGCCAACCUCUCCGUUAAGGUUUUGCAGUCGUAUAUUUCUCAUACAAUA